rnacentral:rRNA from 1 species
UACGUAGGGUGCUAGCGUUGUUCGGAAUCAUUGGGCGUAAAGCGCGUGUAGGUGGUUAAGUAAGUCGAAUGUGAAAUCCCUCGGCUCAACCGAGGAAGUGCAUCCGAAACUACUUAGCUAGAGGACGGUAGAGGAAGGUGGAAUUCCUAGUGUAGAGGUGAAAUUCGUAGAUAUUAGGAGGAAUACCGGUGGCGAAGGCGGCCUUCUGGGCCGUUCCUGACACUGAGACGCGAAAGCGUGGGGAGCGAACAGG